rnacentral:rRNA from 1 species
GACGUAGGGCGCGAGCGUUGUCCGGAUUUAUUGGGCGUAAAGAGCUCGUAGGCGGUUUGUCGCGUCGUUCGUGAAAACUCACAGCUUAACUGUGAGCUUGCGGUCGAUACGGGCAGGCUAGAGUUCGGUAGGGGAGACUGGAAUUCCUGGUGUAGCGGUGAAAUGCGCAGAUAUCAGGAGGAACACCGGUGGCGAAGGCGGGUCUCUGGACAGUUCCUGACACUGAGGCACGAAGGCCAGGGGAGCAAACGGG